AUGACUGAGCUGAAGGCGAAGGGUCCCCGCGCUGCCCACGUGGCAGGCACAGCGCCCUCGCCUACCCAAGUCGGAGCCCCUCUGCGGGGACGCCCAGACGCGGGCUCCUUCCAGGCGGGCGAGGCCUCGGGCCCGACCCCCACAGCCUCGGGCCUCCCCCUCUCCCUGGACGGGCUGAUCUUCCCUCAGCCCUGCCAGGCUCAGGACCUGGACGGGAAGACGCUCGACCCAGAGUCGCUGGCAGGCGUGGAGGGGGCGUAUUCCAGAGGGGAAGCCGCAGAGGGCGCUGCUGUGAGACCCCCAGAGAAGGACGGCGGAUUGCUGGACAGCGUCCUGGACACCCUGCUGGCGCCCCCAGGCCCUGAGCAGAGCCCCGCCAGCCCCGCCGUCUGCGAGGCCCCCAGCCCUUGGUGCCUCUUUGGCCCUGAGCUUGCCCAAGACGCCCGGGCUGCGCCCGCCGCCCAGGGGGUCCUGCCUACACUCAUGAGCCGCCCGGAGAGCAAGGCUGGCGACACCCCCGGGGUGGCCGCCGGCCAGAAGGUGCUGCCCCGGGGCCUGGCGCCGUGCCGGCAGCUGCUGGCCCCGACGGCCUCGAGCCACCCCUGGCCCGCGCCCGCGCCGAGGCCGUCUCCGCAGCCCGCGGUGGUGGAGCUGGAGGAGGACGACUCGGAUCCCGAGGGCUCCUCGGGGCCGCCCCUGAAGGGCAAAGCCCGGCCCGCGGGAGGAGACGCGAUCAGCGCUCCUGGGACCGCCGCGGGAGGCGUCGCCCCGGUGCCCAAAGAAGAUGCCCGCUUCUCGGCGCCCAGGGCCGCCCCGACGGAGCAUGACGCGCCCGCCGCGCCCGGGCGCGCCCCGGUGGCCACCGCGGUGAUGGACUUCAUCCACGUGCCCAUCCUGCCGCUCAACUCGGCCUUCCUGGCCGCCCGCACCCGGCAGCUGCUGGAGGGCGACAGCUAUGACAGCGGGCCCGCCGGCGCCUUCGCCCCGCCGCGGGGCUCGCCCUCCGCCUCGGCCGCCCCGGGCGCGCCUGGCGACUUCCCCGACUGCGCGUACCAGCCCGAAGCCGAGCCCAAGGACGACGCGUUCUCGCUCUACGGGGACCCGCAGCCGCCCGCCCUGAAGAUCAAGGAGGAGGAGGAGGGGGGCGCCGAGGCCGCCGCGCGCUCCCCGCGGCCGUACCUGCUGGCGGGGGCCAGCCCCGCCGUCUUCGCCGACUUCCCGCUGGCGCCGCCGUCCAGGCUGGGGGAGGUGGCGGUGCCCGCGGCCGCCACGGGGGCCCCAGGCUCGUCCGCGGCCGCGUCGGGGUCCGCCCUGGAGUGCGUCCUGUACAAGGCGGAGGGCGCGCCCCCCCAGCCGGGCCCGUUCGCGCCGCCGCCCUGCAAGGCUCCGGCCGCGGGCGCCUGCUUCCUGCCGCGGGACCUGCCGUCCACCUCGUCCGCUGCCGCCGCCGGGGCCGCCCCUGCACUCUACCCGCCGCUCGGCCUCAACGGGCUCCCCCAGCUCGGCUACCAGGCCGCGGUGCUCAAGGAGGGCCUGCCGCAGGUCUACCAGCCCUAUCUCAACUACCUGAGAUCUGUGCAGUCCCAAGGCGAACCAGCCGCGAGUUCUAAAGUGCAGCGUCACUCUGGGUCCGCCGUAGCCCCGCGGAGCCGAAAGGGUGCGGCGAGUCCGGGGUUUUAUAAAAUGCUUUUCUUCCUAGAAGGACAGUUACCGAGAACGGGCAUUCCGGAGAGGAGAUGGCCCGAUUCAGAAGCCAGCCAGAGCCCACAGUACAGCUUUGAGUCAUUACCUCAGAAGAUUUGUUUAAUCUGUGGGGAUGAAGCAUCAGGCUGUCAUUAUGGUGUCCUCACCUGUGGAAGCUGUAAGGUCUUCUUUAAAAGGGCAAUGGAAGGCCGAAAGUUUAAAAAGUUCAAUAAAGUUAGAGUUAUGAGAACACUAGAUGCUGUUGCCCUCCCACAGCCAGUGGGUAUUCCAAAUGAAAGCCAAGCCCUAAGCCAGAGAAUCACUUUUUCACCAAGCCAAGACUUGCAGUUGAUCCCCCCACUGAUCAACUUGCUCAUGAGCAUUGAACCAGAUAUGGUCUAUGCAGGACAUGACAACAGCAAACCUGAUACCUCCAGCUCUCUGCUGACAAGUCUGAAUCAGCUUGGCGAGAGACAGCUUCUCUCAGUGGUCAAGUGGUCUAAGUCACUGCCAGGUUUUCGGAACUUACAUAUUGAUGACCAAAUAACUCUCAUCCAGUAUUCUUGGAUGAGUUUAAUGGUAUUUGGACUAGGAUGGAGAUCUUAUAAGCAUGUCAGUGGACAGAUGCUAUAUUUUGCACCUGAUCUAAUACUAAAUGAACAGCGGAUGAAGGAGUCAUCAUUCUAUUCAUUAUGCCUAACCAUGUGGCAGAUCCCACAGGAGUUUGUGAAGCUUCAAGUCAGCCAAGAAGAGUUCCUCUGUAUGAAAGUAUUGCUACUUCUUAAUACAAUUCCUUUGGAAGGACUAAGAAGCCAAAACCAGUUUGAAGAAAUGAGAUCAAGUUACAUUAGAGAGCUCAUCAAGGCAAUUGGUUUGAGACAAAAAGGAGUUGUCCCUAGCUCACAGCGUUUCUAUCAGCUUACAAAACUUCUUGAUAACUUGCAUGAUCUUGUCAAACAACUUCAUCUGUACUGCUUGAAUACAUUUAUCCAGUCCCGGGCACUGAGUGUUGAAUUUCCAGAGAUGAUGUCUGAGGUUAUCGCUGCACAAUUACCCAAGAUCUUGGCAGGGAUGGUGAAACCUCUUCUGUUUCAUAAAAAGUGA
rnacentral:lncRNA from 1 species